rnacentral:rRNA from 1 species
AUUGAACGCUGGCGGCAGGCUUAACACAUGCAAGUCGAGCGAGCGGCGGACGGGUGAGUAAUGUCUGGGAAACUGCCUGAUGGAGGGGGAUAACUACUGGAAACGGUAGCUAAUACCGCAUACCAUCAGAUGUGCCCAUAUGGGAUUAGCUAGUAGGUGGGGUAAUGGCUCACCUAGUCGACGAUCCCUAGCGGGUCUGAGAGGAUGACCAGCCACACUGGGACUGAGACCCGGUCCAGACUCCUACGGGAGGCAGCAGUGGGGAAUAUUGCCCAAUGGGCGCAAGCCUGAUGCAGUCAUGCCGCGUGUGUGAAGAAGGCCUUCGGGUUGUAAAGUACUUUCAGCGAGGAGGCGUUACCCGCAGAAGAAGCACCGGCUAACUCCGUGCCAGCAGCCGCGGUAAUAC